GGCAGCUCUCAAAAAUCCGUAGUGACAUCAAAGAGUUUGUUCAUCCAAGUAAUUUCUAUGGUUCAAGUUCCAGGUAUGAAUUGAAGAUGUCGGUAUGGAUUGCAAGUAUUAAGACAUUGCUUUAGGAAGAAAAUACCAUUUAUUUAUUAAUUUCAUCUUUAGAGAUAUGUAUUUUGUGUUAUUUCAAAACUUUUAUAAUUUUAUGUUACUUUGAAACCUUUGUAAUUUACAUUUGUUUUAAUAUAAUUUUGUUUUUUUUCUUUGUA